UAAUACGGAGGGUGCUAGCGUUGUUCGGAAUUACUGGGCGUAAAGCGCGUGUAGGCGGAUCCAGAAGUCGGGUGUGAAAGCCCUGGGCUUAACCCAGGAAGUGCGCCCGAAACCAUGGGUCUUGAGGUCCGGAGGGGAUCGGGGAAUUCCCAGUGUAGAGGUGAAAUUCGUAGAUAUUGGGAGGAACACCGGUGGCGAAGGCGCCGAUCUGGACGGAUUCUGACGCUGAGACGCGAAAGCGUGGGUAGCAAACAGGAUUAGAUACCCUGGUAGUCCACGCCGUAAACGAUGCACACUAGGUGUCGCGGGUAUUGACCCCCGCGGUGCCGACGCAAACGCAUUAAGUGUGCCGCCUGGGAAGUACGGCCGCAAGGUUGAAACUUAAAUGAAUUGACGG
rnacentral:rRNA from 1 species